AACCUCCGCAUGCACGCAAGUGCGACGGGGGGACCCCAAGUGCCACUCUUAACGGGGUGGCUUUUCAGGAGUGUAAAAAGCUCCUGGAAUAAGGGCUGGGCAAGACCGGUGCCAGCCGCCGCGGUAA
rnacentral:rRNA from 1 species